GGAGAACUAAUUAUACAGUUUACGUCCGUCAGUAAAUGAACAGAUACGAUUGUUCAAAUCAAGUUGAUCAAACUACUUCAAGAAUGGAUACGAAAUUCAUACAAGUGUUGAUGCUGUUUGUAUGUGUGGUUCUUGGUGCUGAAGCUCAAAGGCUUUGCUCUUACUGGGACAGAAUGCGGUGUUACCCAAGACAAUGCCAUAUAGUGAGACGCGGAAGGGGUCUGGUAAGAGCGGACUGCCUCAGUAAGUUAUAUACGCUUAACAUAGUGUCUAACGCAGCACUUGAUAAUUUGAUGUCUUUUUUGUUUCCACUUGUUCUAUUUUAAAAUUAUCAUCUACAUUAUCAAAAUUUGACGGACGGUUUUGAAAAAUAUGUUCCAGUUUCAGUAAAAUCAUUGCAUGCAAUCAUAUGUUUUAUUAUCUUCACGACUAAAUAGUCACAGGUCGUGAUUUACAAAGCAAGCAAGAUACAUUUCGGCGCAGGCAAAUCAUAACAAAAAAUAAUGCCUUAUGUUAGACAUAAAUUUAUGUUUGGUUUGAUAAUUGCCUGUUAAUCAGUUUAUCACAUGUUUUGACGUCGUUGGAGUGAAAUAAAACCAUUAGAUUAUUUUGGUAUAACAUUAGUGUAAUAAAGAUUCGACGUUGACGUCUUGUUAAGUGCAAGAGACGUUGCUCGAAUUGACUUCAUCUAUAAUAGGUAAAGAAAGAAGAAAUUUCGAUGUAUCAGUAUAAAAGACAACAUGUGAUAAAAAGAAUAUUACAAUUGUAUCUUUCCAUAUUGAAUAUAUCAAAAAUAAACGAGUUAAAUUAGAUUUAUUUAAUUUAAUAAAACGCACGACAGACCCUCGCAUUUCAUUAUUUUAUUAAACUCGUUUAAUAAAUUCAGUAUUAAAGACACUUAUGUUAUACCCUCCUUGAAAAGAACAAAAU